rnacentral:rRNA from 1 species
GAUGAUUUUAGUGCUUGCACUAAAUGAAACUAGAUACAAGCGAGCGGCGGACGGGUGAGUAACACGUGGGUAACCUGCCCAAGAGACUGGGAUAACACCUGGAAACAGAUGCUAAUACCGGAUAACAACACUAGACGCAUGUCUAGAGUUUGAAAGAUGGUUCUGCUAUCACUCUUGGAUGGACCUGCGGUGCAUUAGCUAGUUGGUAAGGUAAUGGCUUACCAAGGCGAUGAUGCAUAGCCGAGUUGAGAGACUGAUCGGCCACAUUGGGACUGAGACACGGCCCAAACUCCUACGGGAGGCAGCAGUAGGGAAUCUUCCACAAUGGACGAAAGUCUGAUGGAGCAACGCCGCGUGAGUGAAGAAGGGUUUCGGCUCGUAAAGCUCUGUUGGUAGUGAAGAAAGAUAGAGGUAGUAACUGGCCUUUAUUUGACGGUAAUUACUUAGAAAGUCACGGCUAACUACGUGCCAGCAGCCGCGGUAAUACGUAGGUGGCAAGCGUUGUCCGGAUUUAUUGGGCGUAAAGCGAGUGCAGGCGGUUCAAUAAGUCUGAUGUGAAAGCCUUCGGCUCAACCGGAGAAUUGCAUCAGAAACUGUUGAACUUGAGUGCAGAAGAGGAGAGUGGAACUCCAUGUGUAGCGGUGGAAUGCGUAGAUAUAUGGAAGAACACCAGUGGCGAAGGCGGCUC